AGAGGUACAGCUCAGUGGUAGAGCACAUGCUUAGCAUGCAUGAGGUCCUGGGUUCAAUCCCCAAUAUCUCCA
rnacentral:tRNA from 1 species